UACGUAGGGUGCAAGCGUUAUCCGGAAUUAUUGGGCGUGAAGAGCUCGUAGGCGGUUUGUCGCGUCUGCUGUGAAAACUGGAGGCUCAACCUCCAGCCUGCAGUGGGUACGGGCAAGCUAGAGUGCGGUAGGGGAGAUUGGAAUUCCUGGUGUAGCGGUGGAAUGCGCAGAUAUCAGGAGGAACACCGAUGGCGAAGGCAGAUCUCUGGGCCGUAACUGACGCUGAGGAGCGAAAGCAUGGGGAGCGAACAGG
rnacentral:rRNA from 1 species